rnacentral:lncRNA from 1 species
AGGCUAAAGUAAAAAAGAGGGGAGGACGAAAGAAGAUAGAGGGACUCACUGUUUUGCGGGCAGCUGGUGAAGGACAGCCAAAACUUUGCAGCCACGAGGCGGUGGUAUGGAAUCAUGAUGACGUGGAACAACCUGCGCUGACGUGGAACGGCGGUGACAGAAAGUCAAACACUGACAUCACAUUACACACUCUCACACACAUUUUUGCAAACCUGAAUAUAUUGAAAAGUA